AGCUUGUUGGUGGGGUAGUGGCUUACCAAGGCUUUGACGGGUAGCCGGCCUGAGAGGGUGACCGGCCACAUUGGGACUGAGAUACGGCCCAGACUCCUACGGGAGGCAGCAGUGGGGAAUAUUGCACAAUGGGCGGAAGCCUGAUGCAGCAACGCCGCGUGCGGGAUGACGGCCUUCGGGUUGUAAACCGCUUUCGCCUGUGACGAAGCGUGAGUGACGGUAAUGGGUAAAGAAGCACCGGCUAACUACGUGCCAGCAGCCGCGGUGAUACGUAGGGUGCGAGCGUUGUCCGGAUUUAUUGGGCGUAAAGGGCUCGUAGGUGGUUGAUCGUGUCGGAAGUGUAAUCUUGGGGCUUAACCCUGAGCGUGCUUUCGAUACGGGUUGACUUGAGGAAGGUAGGGGAGAAUGGAAUUCCUGGUGGAGCGGUGGAAUGCGCAGAUAUCACGAGGAACACCAGUGGCGAAAGCGGUUCUCUGGGCCUUUCCUGACGCUGAGGAGCGAAAGCGUGGGGAGCGAACAGGCUUAGAUACCCUGGUAGUCCACGCUGUAAACGGUGGGUACUAGGUGUGGGGUCCAUUCCACGGGUUCCGUGCCGUAGCUAACGCUUUAAGUACCCCGCCUGGGGAGUACGGCCGCAAGGCUAAAACUCAAAGGAAUUGACGGGGCCCCGCACAAGCGGCGGAGCAUGCGGAUUAAUUCGAUGCAACGCGUAGAACCUUACCUGGGUUUGACAUGGAUCGGGAGUGCUCAGAGAUGGGUGUGCCUCUUUUGGGGUCGGUUCACAGGUGGUGCAUGGCUGUCGUCAGCUCGUGUCGUGAGAUGUUGGGUUAAGUCCCGCAACGAGCGCAACCCUUGUUCACUGUUGCCAGCACGUUAUGGUGGGGACUCAGUGGAGACCGCCGGGGUCAACUCGGAGGAAGGUGGGGAUGACGUCAAGUCAUCAUGCCCCUUAUGUCCAGGGCUUCACGCAUGCUACAAUGGCUGGUACAGAGAGUGGCGAGCCUGUGAGGGUGAGCGAAUCUCGGAAAGCCGGUCUCAGUUCGGAUUGGGGUCUGCAACUCGACCUCAUGAAGUCGGAGUCGCUAGUAAUCGCAGAUCAGCAACGCUGCGGUGAAUACGUUCCCGGGGCUUGUACACACCGCCCGUCA
rnacentral:rRNA from 1 species